AAGGAUGAAAGACAGAGAAACCUCUGGCUUCAGCUCAGUGAUUUCUGCCUCCCCAGCUGGUAGAAAAUCAAAUGGCAAGUGCACAGCUCUUCCUCCCCCAGCUACCACCUGUGCUAGGCAAACCAGAGCAAGGCAAAAAGGAAGCCUUUCAGGCAGGCAAGCCAUCUGCAAUGUGCUGCUGCUGCAUAAGACAUCAAAAGGGCAGCAAUAAUGUUCCACUUUUUAUGAGAUCUAGCCAUUACUUCUGGUUUGCACCUCUGUAGCUCAAAUUAAAAAAGCAGGCCCUGGAGGCAGAGGUGUGCAUCCAGCAGCUCUCCAGAAUCUGAGAAACACUCUUUGAGUGUUUACUCCAGCUUCUUCUGAGGCACUAUCCCCCAAAGCUGUAAAAGACAUUUGAAACAGUCCUAAAAAGUCAAGGUUUACAGCUUCAUACUGUUGUCAUUUCCGUGUUAUUUACUUCCAGUAGUACCACUCCCACGCCUCUCCACCCCAAAAAGUCCAACCAAAAACAACUCUAUAUCAUCUGGGUACUUCAUAAUCUAUUCAAGCAAAUUCUUACUCCCUCACAAAAAUCAGAGAAUUCAUUAGUCUAUUCCUCUCACCACCUACCAUUUCUCACAUUAAAUGGCGACUAUUUGUGAUCUUAAGCAAUCAAGCUUCUAAAGCACAGUGCAAAUUUGUUAUUAGAACAGUUCAUCACCGCAGGCCUUUCCGUCCUUUGUCCCACCCACCCAGUCACCUACAGACUUUAAGGCAAACUGUUCCAGCUUACAGGGAACAGAGGGAAACACCUCACAUUCAGCAAAGGGAGCUCACCCACAUGCAGGAACACUGCUUGGUACAGAUUUAUAUCGCAGGUGAUCUCACCCUGUUAUUAGGACAAACUAAACCUUUCUAAUUUACAGAAAAGUCAGCAGAAGAUUAUUUCAGAAGAGGUCUAAAAGUCAAAGCAUGCUAGAAUUCUCUAGAAAAGAAAAUGCUGACCUGCCUCUAGGCGAGGCUACCCAGCUGCCCUGCCCUGGAAAGAAGUUGCCAAAAGAUUUGGCAAUUACAAAACCAAGGCACUUAGGUGUAUUCAAAGCUGCAGCAACAUUAUGGUUAAUUUAACUCUUCAAACUGUGUCAGCUAUACCCAGAUCAUUAUUUCUUCUCUUCAGCUUGAACAACUUGCAGCUCUCUAAAUUCCUCCUCCUCCAGAGGAGGAGGUGAACUGCAGUCACCAAUGCCAGACUGUGCUGGGCUGGAGAUUGCAUGACGUAAAAAGACUUGUCACACUAACUGAUCUAAAUUUUACAUCCUCUUCACCAAAGCCAGUCCUUUAUUAUCUCGACUGACAUAAGCUUAUUUGGACUACAUCUUGGAAACACUGUCUCCCAAAAAGGAUGGCACCUAAUAUUCAAGGAUCAGGCAGAACAAGCCCUUCUUGCUAAUGACUUUUGUUCUAAAACAAAGCAAAACCCCCAGUACAUUAAGCCUUUUCUACUAAUUUCUUUAGUAAUGCAUCUGAAGUUCUAAAUAAUUAGAAGGAAAGUUAGAGGACUUUUCACUCUCACAACAGCAAAUCUGGCCCAGCUAAUUUCCCAAAUGAAUCGAGAAUCCAGAGCCAACCAACUAUAUAUUAGUCACUUGGCUAGCAAGGAGGACUAAACUCACACUAAUGAACUUAGGACUUCAUUAAAAUGUAAUUUUAAGUUUAGCAAUAGUCCAGGAUAAUAUAUUGUAGUAGGAAGGUGACAGGAUUGACAUGGCAGACUCAGCUCCUUGCUACUUAUCUCUAAUAAAUAUAAAUUAAAAAUCAAUACAGCAGGGUAGUGCAAGACAAAUGCUAAUGUCCAUGAAGAGAGAAUUUGUUAGACUCAUUACCCCUCUGCUGCCAGGCACAUCACUAAUUCUCCAGGACUGGAGAGGACAGAGACAAGCUGCUUUGCACAGCACAGCCAGAAUUUGCAUCAGCUCCCCUUCUGCAAUCGAUUCGUGUCCCCUCGUGCCCAAACCAUCACGUUACAAUGACAGGACUAGUACCAACUUGGAAUUACUGUGAGAAAGCCUGUCACAGAGCUACCAAAUUUCUUUACUUGUGCCAUGAAAAAUGACCACAGUGUGAAUGGGAACACUUUCAUAUUUCAUUUUAUGUAUCGUAUCCUAGAUUAUUUGCAAGACAACUGAUGACUCCAGUUAUCUCAGUCAGAGAAAAUCCAAAUUGUAUCAGCCUCAGCUGGAAAGCUGAAAAUGAAUACAAAGGAUCCAAUAUGGAACAAAAGCCACACACAAUCUAAGAGCAGCAUUCCAUUCUUCAAACUUGACCUAAGCAAUGCUUGCUCAAGUUAUUGUGCAAAAAUUAGCACAAAAAUAGUAUAUAAAGCUCUGGGACUAAAAAAGGUUUUUCUCACAAAUGCUUAGUCUAAAGUUAAAUUUUGAUGAAUUUACUGCACACUUGCACUUACCACAAGGCAGAAGAAAAAUUGGCACCAUGCAGCUGAGAUUCUUUAUGACCUGCCCUUUAGGUAUCUUUCAUACACAAAAAGCAGAAAUGUUACCAUCAUGACAACUCAGAAAAUAUUCUUGAAGGUGACUUGCCAUAUACUGUUUAAACUAGUUCCAUACUUUUG
rnacentral:lncRNA from 1 species